AUUGAACGCUGGCGGCAUGCUUUACACAUGCAAGUCGAACGGCAGCGCGGGCUUCGGCCUGGCGGCGAGUGGCGAACGGGUGAGUAAUAUAUCGGAACGUACCCAAGAGUGGGGGAUAACGUAGCGAAAGUUACGCUAAUACCGCAUACGAUCUAAGGAUGAAGGCAGGGGGAUCGCAAGACCUUGUGCUCCUGGAGCGGCCGAUAUCUGAUUAGCUAGUUGGUGAGGUAAAGGCUCACCAAGGCAACGAUCAGUAGCUGGUCUGAGAGGACGACCAGCCACACUGGAACUGAGACACGGUCCAGACUCCUACGGAGGCAGCAGUGGGGAAUUUUGGACAAUGGGGGCAACCCUGAUCCAGCAAUGCCGCGUGAGUGAAGAAGGCC
rnacentral:rRNA from 1 species